UGGGGAAUUUUGGACAAUGGGCGAAAGCCUGAUCCAGCAAUGCCGCGUGUGUGAAGAAGGCCUUCGGGUUGUAAAGCACUUUUGUCCGGAAAGAAAUCCUUGGCUCUAAUACAGUCGGGGGAUGACGGUACCGGAAGAAUAAGCACCGGCUAACUACGUGCCAGCAGCCGCGGUAAUACGUAGGGUGCAAGCGUUAAUCGGAAUUACUGGGCGUAAAGCGUGCGCAGGCGGUUUGCUAAAACCGAUGUGAAAUCCCCGGGCUCAACCUGGGAACUGCAUUGGUGACUGGCAGGCUAGAGUAUGGCAGAGGGGGGUAGAAUUCCACGUGUAGCAGUGAAAUGCGUAGAGAUGUGGAGGAAUACCGAUGGCGAAGGCAGCCCCCUGGGCCAAUACUGACGCUCAUGCACGAAAGCGUGGGGAGCAAACAGGAUUAGAUACCCUGGUAGUCCACGCCCUAAAACGAUGUCAACUAGUUGUUGGGGAUUCAUUUCCUUAGUAACGUAGCUAACGCGUGAAGUUGACCGCCUGGGGAGUACGGUCGCAAGAUUAAAACUCAAAUGAAUUGACGGGGUCAUAGCUGUUUCCU
rnacentral:rRNA from 1 species